GACGAACGCUGGCGGCGUGCUUAACACAUGCAAGUCGAACGGAAAGGCCUCUUUCGGGGGGUACUCGAGUGGCGAACGGGUGAGUAACACGUGAGUAACCUGCCCUUGUCUUUGGGAUAACUUCAGAAAACUGGGGCGAAUACCGGAUAGAAGCUCCAGCUGCACGGUGGGGGGUGUAAAGUUUCGGGGGUUUGGGGUUGGCUCGCGGCUUAUCUGCUUGUUUGUGGGGGGUUGGCUUACCAAAGGUUUGACGGGUAGACGGGCUGUGAGGGGGACCGGCCACAUUGGGACUGAGGUACGGCCCAGACUCCUAAGGGAGGCAGCAGUGGGGAAUAUUGCACCAUGGGUGGAAGCCUGAUGCAGCAACGCCGUGGGCCGGAAGACGGCCUUCGGGUUGUAAACCGGUUUCGCUCAUGACGAAGCUUUGUGUGACGGUAGUGGGUAAAGAAGCACCGGCUAACUACGUG
rnacentral:rRNA from 1 species